GACGAACGCUGGCGGCGUGCCUAAUACAUGCAAGUAGAACGCUGAAGGAGGAGCUUGCUUCUCCGGAUGAGUUGCGAACGGGUGAGUAACGCGUAGGUAACCUGCCUGGUAGCGGGGGAUAACUAUUGGAAACGAUAGCUAAUACCGCAUAAGAGUAGAUGUCGCAUGACAUUUGCUUAAAAGGUGCAACUGCACCACUACCAGAUGGACCUGCGUUGUAUUAGCUAGUUGGUGAGGUAACGGCUCACCAAGGCAACGAUACAUAGCCGACCUGAGAGGGUGAUCGGCCACACUGGGACUGAGACACGGCCCAGACUCCUACGGGAGGCAGCAGUAGGGAAUCUUCGGCAAUGGACGGAAGUCUGACCGAGCAACGCCGCGUGAGGGAAGAAGGGUUUCGGAUCGGAAAGCUCUGUUGUAAGAGAAGAACGAGUGUGAGAGUGGAAAGUUCACACUGUGACGGUAUCUUACCAGAAAGGGACGGCUAACUACGUG
rnacentral:rRNA from 1 species